rnacentral:rRNA from 1 species
CAGUAGCCGCGGUAAUACAGAGGGUGCGAGCGUUAAUCGGAUUUACUGGGCGUAAAGCGUGCGUAGGCGGCUUUUUAAGUCGGAUGUGAAAUCCCUGAGCUUAACUUAGGAAUUGCAUUCGAUACUGGGAAGCUAGAGUAUGGGAGAGGAUGGUAGAAUUCCAGGUGUAGCGGUGAAAUGCGUAGAGAUCUGGAGGAAUACCGUUGGCGAAGGCAGCCAUCUGGCCUAAUACUGACGCUGAGGUACGAAAGAAUGGGGAGCAAACAGGAUUAGAUACCCCAGUAGUCCCUGUCUCUUAUAC